CCCGCUGAACUUAAGCAUAUCAAUAAGCGGAGGAAAAGAAACUAACAAGGAUUCCCCUAGUAACUGCGAGUGAAGCGGGAAAAGCUCAAAUUUAAAAUCUGGCAGCCAUUUUACGGUUGUCCGAGUUGUAAUCUAGAGAAGUGCUUUCCGCGCUGGACCGUGUACAAGUCUCUUGGAAUAGAGCAUCAUAGAGGGUGAGAAUCCCGUCUUUGACACGGACUACCAGUGCUUUAUGUGAUGCGCUCUCAAAGAGUCGAGUUGUUUGGGAAUGCAGCUCAAAAUGGGUGGUAAAUUCCAUCUAAAGCUAAAUAUUGGCGAGAGACCGAUAGCGAACAAGUACCGUGAGGGAAAGAUGAAAAGAACUUUGGAAAGAGAGUUAAACAGUACGUGAAAUUGUUGAAAGGGAAACGCUUGAAGUCAGUCACGUUGGCCGAGACUCAACCUUGCUUCUGCUCGGUGCACUUCUCGGUUGACGGGUCAGCAUCAAUUUUGACCGCCGGAUAAAGGUCGGGGGAAUGUGGCAUCCUUCGGGAUGUGUUAUAGACCUCGAUUCGGAUACGGCGAUUGGGAUUGAGGAACUCGGCGCUUUGCGUCCAGGAUGCUGGCAUAAUGGCUUUAAGCGACCCGUCUUGAAACACGG
rnacentral:rRNA from 1 species